UACAGAGGGUGCGAGCGUUGUCCGGAAUCACUGGGCGUAAAGCGCACGUAGGCGGCUUUUUAAGUCAGGGGUGAAAUCCUGGAGCUCAACUCCAGAACUGCCUUUGAUACUGAGAAGCUUGAGUCCGGGAGAGGUGAGUGGAACUGCGAGUGUAGAGGUGAAAUUCGUAGAUAUUCGCAAGAACACCAGUAGCGAAGGCGGCUCACUGGCCCGGUACUGACGCUGAGGUGCGAAAGCGUGGGGAGCAAACAGG
rnacentral:rRNA from 1 species